GACGAACGCUGGCGGCGUGCUUAACACAUGCAAGUCGAACGGAAAGACCCUGCUUUUGUGCGGUGCUCGAGUGGCGAACGGGUGAGUAUCACGUGAGUAACCUGCUCUUGACUUUCGGAUAACUUCAGGAAAGUGGGGCUAAUACCGGAUCGGAGCUCCUGCUCCAUGGUGGGGGUGGGAUAUUUUCGGCGGGUGGGGAUGGACGCGCGGCUUAUCGGCUUGUUGGUCGGGUGGUGGAUUACCAAGGCUUUGACGGAUAGCCGGCCUGUGUGGGUGACCGGCAACAUUGGGACUGAGAUAAGGCCCAGAGUCGAAGGUGAGGCAGCAGUGGGGAAUAUUACACAAUGGGCGGAAGUGUGAUGCAGCAGCGCCGCGUGUGUGAUGACAGCCUUCUGGGUGUAAACCGCUGGCGCCUAUGACGAAGCGUGAGUGACGGUACUCAGAGAAGAAGCACCGGCUAACUUCGUG
rnacentral:rRNA from 1 species